rnacentral:tRNA from 1 species
UUUUAUACAGUGUCAGGGCACGAAGAGUUUUGAUCUCUUAGGGGGAGGUUAACCUCCUAUAGGUC